rnacentral:rRNA from 1 species
CCAAUCGAACCCGGAGAUAGCUGGUUCUCCUCGAAAUAGCUUUAGGGCUAGCCUCAUGGAUCAUUGGUGGGGGUAGAGCACUGAAUGUGCGCGGGGGCCACAAAGCCUACCAAACGCUAUCAAACUUCGAAUACCAUACAAUGCAGACCAUGGGAGUCAGUCCGCGAGAGAUAAGUUCCGCGGGCAAAAGGGGAACACCCCAGAUCAACCGCUAAGGUCCCCAAGUUCACGUUAAGUGGAGAAGGAUGUGGAAUUGCACAGACAACCAGGAUGUUGGCUCAGAAGCAGCCACACAUUUAAAGAGUGCGUAAUAGCUCACUGGUCGAGUGAUUGUGCGCCGAAGAUGUCCGGGGCUAAACGUGACACCGAAGCGAUGGGUGCGUCUGAAGAAGAUGCGCGGUAGAGGAGCAAUGUGCAGAGGCAGAAGCCGUAUCGAGAGGCACGGUGGACACUGCACAAGAGAGAAUGCCGGUAUGAGUAGCGAGAGGCAUGCGAGAAACAUGCCCGUCGAAAGCCCAAGGUUUCCUGGGGAAGGUUCAUCCGCCCAGGGUAAGUCGGGGCCUAAGCCGAGGACGGAAGUCGUAGGCGAUGGACAGCAGGUGUAGAUUCCUGCACUACCGAUGGAAUGAAGCAGUGACACAGAAGGAUAACUCGAGCAGGGUGAUGGUCAACCCUGUGCAAGCAUCAAGGUUGGGUUGUAGUGAAGUACGCAACCCUAUAAGCUGAGAUGUGAUGCGGACCGAAAUUUCAGUAGGGAAGCGAGUGAGUUCACGCUGGCGAGAAAAGCUGCUAGUACAUCCAAAGGUACCCGUACCGGAAACCGACGCAGGUGGGCGAGGAGAGAAUCCUGAGACGAACGGGAGAACCCUUGUUAAGGAACUCGGCAAAAUGACCCCGUAACUUCGGGAUAAGGGGUGCCUGCGAGAGCAGGCCGCAGAGAAUAGUCACAAGCGACUGUUUAGCAAAAACACAGGUAUCUGCGAAAGCGAGAGCUGACGUAUAGGUGCUGACACCUGCCCGGUGCUGGAAGGUUAAGGGAACAUGUUAGAGCAAUCGAAGCAUCGAACCGAAGCCCCAGUAAACGGCGGCCGUAACUAUAACGGUCCUAAGGUAGCGAAAUUCCUUGUCGGGUAAGUUCCGACCCGCACGAAAGGCGUAAUGAUUUGAGCGCUGUCUCGACAAUGCAUCCGGUGAAAUUGAAGUACCAGUGAAGAUGCUGGUUACCUGCGCCAGGACGGAAAGACCCCAUGGAGCUUUACUCCAGUUUGGUACUGGGGUCCGGCAGUGCAUGUACAGGAUAGGUGGGAGGCUGUGAACCUGGAACGCCAGUUUCAGGGGAGCCAUUGUUGGGAUACCACCCUUGUGCUGCUGGGCUUCUAACCAGCGGCCUUUAUCAGGCCGGGGGACAAUGCCAGACGGGGAGUUUGACCUCGAGGGGGGGAGAUCGGAAGAACAGAUA